rnacentral:rRNA from 1 species
UACGAAGGGUGCAACCGUUGCUCGGAAUUAUUGGGCGUAAAGCGCGCGUAGGCGGCUUGGCAAGUCGGAUGUGAAAUCCCUCGGCUCAACCAAGGAAGUGCAUCCGAAACUGCUGAGCUUGAGUACUGAAGAGGAUCGCGGAAUUCCCGGUGUAGAGGUGAAAUUCGUAGAUAUCGGGAGGAACACCAGAGGCGAAGGCGGUUACCUGGACAGGUACUGACGCUCAGGCACGAAAGCAUGGGGAGCAAAAGGG